rnacentral:rRNA from 1 species
GAUGAACGCUGGCGGCGUGCCUAAUACAUGCAAGUCGAGCGAACAGACGAGGAGCUUGCUCCUCUGACGUUAGCGGCGGACGGGUGAGUAACACGUGGAUAACCUACCUAUAAGACUGGGAUAACUUCGGGAAACCGGAGCUAAUACCGGAUAAUAUAUUGAACCGCAUGGUUCAAUGGUGAAAGACGGUUUUGCUGGCACUUAUAGAUGGAUCCGCGCCGCAUUAGCUAGUUGGUAAGGUAACGGCUUACCAAGGCAACGAUGCGUAGCCGACCUGAGAGGGUGAUCGGCCACACUGGAACUGAGCCACGGUCCAGACUCCUGCGGGAGGCAGCAGUAGGGAAUCUUCCGCAAUGGGCGAAAGCAUGACGGAGCAACGCCGCGUGAGUGAUGAAGGUGUUCGGAUCGUAAAGCUCUGUUAUUAGGGAAGAACAAAUGCGUAAGUAACUAUGCACGUAUUGACGGUACCUAAUCAGAAAGCCACGGCUAACUACGUG